CCUACGGGGGGCUGCAGUGGGGAAUAUUGGACAAUGGGGGGAACCCUGAUCCAGCCAUGCCGCGUGUGUGAAGAAGGCCCUCGGGUUGUAAAGCACUUUCAGUGAGGAAGAACGCCUGGUGGUUAAUACCCAUCAGGAAAGACAUCACUCACAGAAGAAGCACCGGCUAACUCCGUGCCAGCAGCCGCGGUAAUACGGAGGGUGCGAGCGUUAAUCGGAAUUACUGGGCGUAAAGCGCGCGUACGUGGCUUGAUAAGCCGGUUGUGAAAGCCCCGGGCUCAACCUGGGUACGGCAUCCGGAACUGUCGAUCUAGAGUGCAGGAGAGGAAGGUAGAAUUCCCGGUGUAGAGGUGAAAUGCGUAGAGAUCGGGAGGAAUACCAGUGGCGAAGGCGGCCUUCUGGACUGACACUGACACUGAGGUGCGAAAGCGUGGGUAGCAAACAGGAUUAGAUACCCGAGUAGUC
rnacentral:rRNA from 1 species